GAUGAACGCUGGCGGCGUGCCUAAUACAUGCAAGUCGAGCGAACAGACGAGGAGCUUGCUCCUCUGACGUUAGCGGCGGACGGGUGAGUAACACGUGGAUAACCUACCUAUAAGACUGGGAUAACUUCGGGAGACCGGAGCUAAUACCGGAUAAUAUAUUGAACCGCAUGGUUCAAUAGUGAAAGACGGUUUUGCUGUCACUUAUAGAUGGAUCCGCGCCGCAUUAGCUAGUUGGUAAGGUAACGGCUUACCAAGGCAACGAUGCGUAGCCGACCUGAGAGGGUGAACGGGCACACUUGAACUGAGACACGGUCCCGACUCCUAAGGGAGGGAGCAGUAGGGAAAUCUUCGGAAUGGGGGGAGGGCUGACGGGAGAAAGGCGCGGGAGUGAUGAAGGGUUUCGGAUUGGAAAACCUCGUUAUUAGGGAAGAACAAAUGGGGAAAUAAACUAGCACGGUUUGAAGGGUCCCUAUCAGAAAGGCACGGCUAACUUCGGG
rnacentral:rRNA from 1 species